rnacentral:rRNA from 1 species
CCCUAGUAACUGCGAGUGAACCGGGAAGAGCUCAAAUUUUGAAUCUGGCGGUCUUUUGGCCGUCCGAGUUGUAAUCUAGAGAAGCGUCUUCCGCGUUGGACCGUGUAUAAGUUUCCUGGAAAGGAACGUCAUAGAGGGUGAAAAUCCCGUCUUUGACACGGACUACCAGGGCUAUGUGAUGCGCUCUCGACGAGUCGAGUUGUUUGGGAAUGCAGCUCAAAUAGGGUGGUAAAUUCCAUCUAAAGCUAAAUACAGGCGAGAGACCGAUAGCGAACAAGUACCGUGAGGGAAAGACGAAAAGAACUUUGGAAAGAGAGUUAAACAGUGCGUGAAAUUGCUGAAAGGGAAACGCUUGAUGUCAGUCGCGUUGUCUGGGGAUCAACCUUGCUUAACGGUGAGGCGCACUUCCUGGUCGACGGGUCAGCAUCAGUUUUGAGCGUCGGAAAAGGGCUCAAGGAAAGUGGCACUCUCUCGGGAGUGUGUUAUAGACUUGGGUCUUGAAUACGAUGGUUGGGACUGAGGAACUCAGCACGGCCUGCAAGGGUAUCGGGGCUUUGGCCCACGUUCGCGUGCUUAGGAUGCUGGCAUAAUGGCCUUAAGCGACCCGUCUUGAAACACGGACCAAGGAGUCUAACAUGCAUGCGAGUGUU